rnacentral:misc_RNA from 1 species
AAGGAGUCUAACAUCUAUGCGAGUGUUUGGGUGACAAGCCCGAGCGCGUAAUGAAAGUGAACGGAGGUGGGAACCCGCAAGGGUGCACCAUCGACCGAUCCUGAUGUCUUCGGAAGGAUUUGAGUAAGAGCAUGGCUGUUGGGACCCGAAAGAUGGUGAACUAUGCUUGAAUAGGGUGAAGCCAGAGGAAACUCUGGUGGAGGCUCGCGGCGGUUCUGACGUGCAAAUCGAUCGUCAAAUUUGGGCAUAGGGGCGAAAGACUAAUCGAACUAUCUAGUAGCUGGUUCCUGC